AGAUUGAACGCUGGCGGCAUGCUUUACACAUGCAAGUCGAACGGUAACAGGCCGCAAGGUGCUGACGAGUGGCGAACGGGUGAGUAAUGCAUCGGAACGUGCCCAGUCGUGGGGGGAUAACGCAGCGAAAGCUGUGCUAAUACCGCAUACGAUCUAUGGAUGAAAGCGGGGGACCGAAAGGCCUCGCGCGAUUGGAGCGGCCGAUGUCAGAUUAGCUAGUUGGUGGGGUAAAGGCCCACCAAGGCGACGAUCUGUAGCUGGUCUGAGAGGACGACCAGCCACACUGGAACUGAGACACGGUCCAGACUCCUACGGGAGGCAGCAGUGGGGAAUUUUGGACAAUGGGCGCAAGCCUGAUCCAGCAAUGCCGCGUGCAGGAAGAAGGCCUUCGGGUUAGUAACUGUCUUUGUACGGAAGAAACGUGUGGUUAAUACCUCGGCUAAGUGACGUACCGUAAGAAGUAAGCACCGACUAACUACGUGACCAGCACGCCGUA
rnacentral:rRNA from 1 species